rnacentral:tRNA from 1 species
CCAUGGCCGCCGCGUGGAUGACGUGCCGGGCCCUCAGGCGGCCCGCGCCGGUGAUGGCGGCCUCCCCGACGCGGAUCUUGCCGUGGCGGUGGC